UGUUGAUGGCUGGACAUUGCAUCAUCCUAGAAAACUUGGAGGCCAGUGAGGACAAAAAUAAAAAGUUAUAAGACUUUGAAAUAUGUGGAUUUUAGGGUUAUCUUUGGCGCCCCCUAGAACCUAAACCGUGGGGUGCAGCAUCAUGAUUUGAAUAACUUUUAAUGGCCAUGGGGUGUAAUUUGGCCCGAGCAAAUGUGGUGCCGGUGGAACGCCAGCCUUCGGAGGAGUUAGCGAAAUUCCAAUGUGUGCGUAUCGGCAAAAAAUGCGGAAUAACCCUUUAACCUUACAUUUGACAGAUACGCGCGUGUAGACUUUUUUGUAGAUCUUAUUGAGAUACAUGUGUGUGUCAAUUUUUGUGUCAUUUUGCCAAAGCGUACAGGUGUGACACUCAACAAUGUGUGUUUUCACCUUAGGGGACAAGAAAAAAUGGACUUUUUCUCCUGCCAUGGGGGGCGCUCUUUUGGGGAGUAAAAAUUCCUUCACAAAUGUGUUGAUGGCUGGACAUUGCAUCAUCCUAGAAAACUUGGAAGCCAGUGAGGACAAAAAUAAAAAGUUAUAAGACUUUUAAAUAUGUGGAUUUUUGGGUUAUCUUUGGCGCCCCCUAGAACAUAAACCGUGGGGUGCAGCGUCAUGAUUUGUACAACUUUUAAUGGCCAUGGGGUGUAGAUUGGCCUGAGCAAAUUUGGUGCCGGUGGAACAAAAGCUUUAGGAGGAGUUAGGCACAUUCCAAUGUGUGCGAAUCGACCAAAAAUGCGUAAUAGCCCUUUAACCGUACAUUUUACAGAUACGCGCGCAUAGACUUUUUUGUAGAUCUUAUUGAGAUACAUGUGUGUGUCAAUUUUUGUGUCAUUUUGCCAAAGCGUACAGGCGUGACACUCAACAAUGUGUAUUUUCACCUUAGGAGACAAGAAAAAAUGGACCUUUUUCUCCUGCCAUGGGGGGCGCUCUUUUGGGGAGUAAAAAUUCCUUCACAAAUGUGUUGAUGGCUGGACAUUGCAUCAUCCUAGAAAACUUGGAGGCCAGUGAGGACAAAAAUAAAAAGUUAUAAGACUUUGAAAUAUGUGGAUUUUAGGGUUAUCUUUGGCGCCCCCUAGAACCUAAACCGUGGGGUGCAGCAUCAUGAUUUGAAUAACUUUUAAUGGCCAUGGGGUGUAAUUUGGCCCGAGCAAAUGUGGUGCCGGUGGAACGCCAGCCUUCGGAGGAGUUAGCGAAAUUCCAAUGUGUGCGUAUCGGCAAAAAAUGCGGAAUAACCCUUUAACCUUACAUUUGACAGAUACGCGCGCGUAGACUUUUUUGUAGAUCUUAUUGAGAUACAUGUGUGUGUCAAUUUUUGUGUCAUUUUGCCAAAGCGUACAGGUGUGACACUCAACAAUGUGUGUUUUCACCUUAGGGGACAAGAAAAAAUGGACUUUUUCUCCUGCCAUGGGGGGGCGCUCUUUUGGGGAGUAAAAAUUCCUUCACAAAUGUGUUGAUGGCUGGACAUUGCAUCAUCCUAGAAAAACUUGGAAGCCAGUGAGGACAAAAAUAAAAAGUUAUAAGACUUUUAAAUAUGUGGAUUUGAGGGUUAUUUUUGGCGCCCCCUAGAACCUAAACCGUGGGGUGCAGCGUCAUGAUUUGAAUAACUUUUAAUGGCCAUGGGGUGUAGAUUGGCCUGAGCAAAUGUGGUGCCGGUGGAACGAAAGCCUUCAGAGGAGUUAGCGAAAUUCCAAUGUGUGCGGAUCGGGAAAAAAUGUGAAAUAACCCUUUAACCGUACAUUUGACAAAUACGCCCGCACUGACUUUUUUGUAGAUCUUAUUGAGAUACAUAUGUGUGUCAAUUUUUGUGUCAAUAUGACAAAGCGUACAGGCGUGACAGUCAAUAGUGUGAAUUUACACCUUAGGGGGCGCUAUGGAGCCAUUUUGCAUUUUAUUGUUCGGGCGACUUCAGUAUAUCGAAUUUUUCACCAGGCCCGGUCGUCCUGCCAAAUUUCAUGAGUUUUCGCCAGUGGGAAGUGGGCCAUUUUCCAGUUCAAAGGGGAGGAAAAAGAAGAAAGAAGAAACAAAGAAAAACCACUACAGGAACAACAGGGCUCUACGCCCGGCUGCUAUGCAGCUGGCUCGGGCCCUAACUAGGGCCCCGUUGGGGCACUGGCGGGCCCGAGCUGUGUCGCGCCGCCCCCAGCAAGACCGCCUCCCUGUCCCAUUCACGUCCUCAGGCUGUCGCCCUCUGUGGUGACGCCCAUCACUGCAAAGACCCUUUUCCUUCAUCGGUGUUUGCUGUUCUUCUUGCCAGUGCGUGUUGCUUCCACUUAUACUUGCCACAGCCAGCCCCCUAGAACGUAAACCGUGGGGUGCAGCGUCAUGAUUUUUACAACUUUGAAUGGCCAUGGAGUGUAGAUUGGCCUGAGCAAAUUUGGUGUCAGUGGGACGAAAGCCUUAGGAGGACUUAGCGAAAUUCCAAUGUGUGCAAAUCGCCAAAAAAUGCAAAAUAGCCCUUUAACUGUACAUUUUACACUAACGUGCCCAUUGACUUUUUCAUAGAUCUUAUGGAGAUACACGUGAUUGUCAAAUUUUUUGUCAAUAUGACAAAGCGUAAAGGCGUGACACUCAACAACGUGUAUUUUCACCUUUCGGGAUAAGAAAAAAUGGACUUUUUUCUCCUGCCAUGGGGGGGCGCUCUUUUUGGGGAGUAAAAAUUUCUUCACAAAUGUGUUGAUGGCUGGACAUUGCAUCAUCCUAAAAAACUUGGAGGCCAGUAUGGAAAAAAAUAAAAAGUUAUAAGACUUUUAAGAAUGUGGAUUUUUGGGUUAUAUUUGGUGCCCCCUUGAACCCAAACCGUGGGGUGCAGCAAGAUGAUUUGUACAACUUUUAAUGGCCAUGGGGUGUAGAUUGGCCUGAGCAAAUUUGGUGCCGGUGGAAAGAUAGCCUUCGGAGGAGUUAGCGAAAUUCCAAUGUGUGCGGAUCGGCAAAAAAUGCAAAAUAGCCCUUUAACCGUACAUUUGACAGAUACAUGCCCUCGACUUUUUCGUAGAUCUUAUUGAGAUACACGUGAUUGUCAAAUUUUGUGUCAAUAUGACAAAGCAUAUAGGCGUGACACUCGACAAUGUGUAUUUUCACCUUAGGAGACAAGAAAAAAUGGACCUUUUUCUCCUGCCAUUGGGGGGCGCUCUUUUGGGGAGUAAAAAUUCCUUAACAAAUGUGUUGAUGGCUGGACAUUGCAUCAUCCUAGAAAACUUGGAGGCCAGUGAGGACAAAAGUAAAAAGUUAUAAGACUUUUAAGAAUGUGGAUUUUUGGGUUAUCUUUGGCGCCCCCUAGAACGUAAACCGUGGGGUGCAGCGUCAUGAUUUGUACAACUUUUAAUGGCCAUGGGGGGUAGAUUGGCCUGCGCAAAUGUGGUGCCGGUCGAACGAAAGCCUUCGGAGGAGUAAGCGAAA